CAGCAGUACAGGGAAGACUAUCACAUGUGAGCUGGAAGGCUGCCAACAUGGAGACACGGAGAGAGCAAGCAUUGAGGAUGGGAGGCACAUGAAUCUGACUGGGCCUGCCCCUCCCACACCAAGGAAGCUAGCCCUGCUCAAGCCUCCCCUGCGGAGAGAAACAGAUCUUUUCACCCACAAACAGAGCUCUGGCAGACUUGUUUGGAAUGGAUCCCAAACAACAUUCAACAUUAUAUAUGUAACCCAGAGCCUGAUCUACACUGGAAAAGUCCCACUGAUGUCAUUAGACUGGUUUUAAACUGAUUUAGUAACAGCCGGGCAGCUUUUCUAAUACAGACAAACUCUAUGUUACUCUAUUGCUGUAUAUUCUUGCAUAAAGUAGGAUUUCUAUUUUACAUGUAUAAAGCCAAUUCUUACCUAAAAACAAACUUUAAAAGGACAAGGCAAUCAUCAUGCUUGCUCGUGCAUCUGCAGAGACAGAGUCAAGCUAGACAGACUUAAAGCAACGCCUCAGCUGGGAAAUGGACAAGGCACCGGACAGUUUGCGGAUAAGCUAAAAAUAGAUUAAUCCCAAUUACAGCCACACUUCUACUUUUUCAAGGUUUCCUGUUUCACUUCCUUAGAUGAAAGCCUGUGUGAAUGAUAGGGUGGGAUUAUCAACCCACCCUGGCAGAAGGAAGGUGGGGCCUCAACAGAGUCAUUUGUGUUGCAUAACUCCAGGAACACACAGUCCUUCAGCUGAACUAAACAGAAUGACCGCACACUUCCCUUGAUCCAGCUGCCUUUAGGUACCAUAAGAAUUCUGAUCAAUAACCAGGCUUUCAAAUCCAUCUUUCCCCAAUACUGAAAAACAAAAAGAUACUUUUCAGUUGGGUUUAUUUUGUAAGUUUCAGAUGAGUGGUUUUUUGUUUGGCUAGCCCUCCAAAAAUCAUUUUCCU